AUAGUGUUUCAAUAGGCAGGUAGUUCAGUAGGAUGACGAGCUCAUCAUAGGGUGUCUCAACAUGUGAUCAUCUCUUCAAUUUAUAGACUUAAUUUAUAUUUCU